GGGAGGUUGGUAGGAGGCAGCAAACACAUCACUUCUUCCCGUGGUUAGCGUGGACAGCGGCUACACUCAGGCGUGUGGCAAACUCUCGCGUACUGUGGGCCGGCUCCAGUGUUAAGCAACGGAGAAGCGAUGAAUCAGAUCUGAGUCUUGGCCUCAGGGCUCACAUUCUAUUGGGGACAACAGACACUUGCACAGACUGGCCUUCUCUGCCCCUCUGAUCAGAUGGGGGAAAACAUGACAGUUCCAUCAUGUCCAGCCAUGUGGAAAGAAUCUCCACAUUUCCAAGAGAGGGUGAUUGGACCAAUUGGAGCAGAACUGUGAGAGCAGGAAGCUUGCCAACAGCCAGGUCCCCAACCUUGUGGAGAAAGUGGUCUGGAAAAGUGAUGCUGACAUGAAGAGGAUGUUUGAGUACUUGGUUCCAGACGUCACUAAAUCCAGUUACAUCCUUGCCACGAACCAACAGCUCCUGAUAAUACCUUCUCCCUUCCCUUUCUAAGCCUCAGUAUCCUUAUCUAUAAAAUAAUGGGGGGGCUUCCCUGGUGGCACAGUGGUUAACAAUCCACCUGCCAAUGCAGGGGACAUGGGUUCGAGCCCUGGUCCAGGAAGAUCCCACAUGCCGCGGAGCAACUAAGUGCGUGCACCACAAUUACAGAGCCUGCUCUCUGGAGCCCGCGAGCCACAACUACUGAGCCCACAUGCCACAACUACUGAAGCCCGUGCGCCUAGAGCCCGUGCUCCGCAACAAGAGAAGCCACCGCCAUGAGAAGCCCGCGCACCGCAACGAAGAGUAGCCCCCGCUCAACACAACUAAAGAAAGCCCGCGAGCAGCAACAAAAACCCAACGCAGCCAAAAAAUAAAUAAAUAAAUUAAAAAAAAAAUAAUGGGGCUGCAUCCUUCCCCCUUUAUCUCUGAUGCUCUAUUACUAUGUUCAUUAAUUUAUUCUUUCCAUCAAUUAGUCAGUCAGCAUCCCUUGUGCAUCUAUUCUGUCCCUGGCCCUAUGUUGGACACUGAGACUCUUGGCAAAGGAAUAACUCCCAUCCUCGGUUCUCAAGACUCAGAGUUAGGCAGGGGAGGGAGUUAAGCAACCAUUCAGUACUGAGUGUGGUAAUGGCUGUGACAGAAGGAAGCACAAAAACUGUGGGGAUGUCAGAGAAGGAGACAUAUCCUCAUUUGUAAGUCUUCCUGGAGGAGGUGGCAGGAGCUGAGUUUUUCAGAUGGGGGUGGGCGCGGAGAAAGGAGGAAGAGCAUUCCAGGCAGAAGAACCUGCCUUUGUAAGGGUCCAAAAGAGAAUGAGAGAAAGUAGCUGCCUGGGGCCGGAGGGAAGGGGACACAGGAGAUGACCUUAUUUGUAUUUUCCACCUAUGUAACUUCUGGGAAAACAAGAAAAAACUCCACUUUUUAAAGCUUGGAAAAUCCCCAGGGUGGAGUCUUUGAACAGGGAUGAAAAGAAGUGACUUCUGACCACAGUAAAGCCCUGGAAUGAAUGAUUCUUCCCCUAGUAGGCUGCCCCAUUGGUCCUUGGUCCCAUCACGAAAUCCACACUCACAGUUGCAUUCAGCGGCUGGUCCUAACGCUGUUGGAUCCAUCUAAAAAUAGGAAGGCCUGGAGCCUAAGGCCAAGCAGAUGACAGAAGAGCAGCCCACGCAGGCCUGGGAGGAGUGUAAACAUCCCCACCUCAUAGGAAACACACUCAUUACAUUGUGAGCAGAAGCGGUUAAUGAUGCACCCUGGAGAAAAUAUGCAGUUAUUGCCCCCAAACAUGCCAAAGCCCUCCUAAUGACUGCACGCCUGCUCCAAAGCAGAAACUGUUCCAGAUGCUGCUUCUUGUCUCUGGGAGAGCCCUUCCU